rnacentral:rRNA from 1 species
GACGAACGCUGGCGGCGUGCUUAACACAUGCAAGUCGAGCGGUAAGGCCCUUUCGGGGGUACACGAGCGGCGAACGGGUGAGUAACACGUGGGUGACCUGCCCUCAGCUCUGGGAUAAGCCUGGGAAACCGGGUCUAAUACCGGAUAUGACUCCAUGACGCAUGUUGUGGGGUGGAAAGCCUUGUGCGGCUGAGGAUGGGCCCGCGGCCUAUCAGCUUGUUGGUGGGGUGAUGGCCUACCAAGGCGACGACGGGUAGCCGGCCUGAGAGGGCGACCGGCCACACUGGGACUGAGACACGGCCCAGACUCCUACGGGAGGCAGCAGUGGGGAAUCUUGCGCAAUGGGGGAAACCCUGACGCAGCAACGCCGCGUGGAGGAUGAAGUCCCUUGGGACGUAAACUCCUUUCGACCCGGACGAUAAUGACGGUACGGGUGGAAGAAGCCCCGGCUAACUUCGUGCCAGCAGCCGCA